rnacentral:rRNA from 1 species
CCAACGGGUGGCUGCAGUGAGGAAUAUUGGUCAAUGGGCGAGAGCCUGAACCAGCCAAGUAGCGUGCAGGAUGACGGCCCUAUGGGUUGUAAACUGCUUUUAUAAGGGAAUAAAGUGAGAGUCGUGACUCUUUUUGCAUGUACCUUAUGAAUAAGGACCGGCUAAUUCCGUGCCAGCAGCCGCGGUAAUACGGAAGGUCCGGGCGUUAUCCGGAUUUAUUGGGUUUAAAGGGAGCGUAGGCCGGGGAUUAAGCGUGUUGUGAAAUGUAGACGCUCAACGUCUGCACUGCAGCGCGAACUGGUUUUCUUGAGUACGCACAAAGUGGGCGGAAUUCGUGGUGUAGCGGUGAAAUGCUUAGAUAUCACGAAGAACUCCGAUUGCGAAGGCAGCUCACUGGAGCGCAACUGACGCUGAAGCUCGAAAGUGCGGGUAUCGAACA